GAUGAACGCUGGCGGCGUGCCUAAUACAUGCAAGUCGAGCGAACAGACGAGGAGCUUGCUCCUCUGACGUUAGCGGCGGACGGGUGAGUAACACGUGGAUAACCUACCUAUAAGACUGGGAUAACUUCGGGAAACCGGAGCUAAUACCGGAUAAUAUAUUGAACCGCAUGGUUCAAUAGUGAAAGACGGUUUUGCUGUCACUUAUAGAUGGAUCCGCGCCGCAUUAGCUAGUUGGUAAGGUAACGGCUUACCAAGGCAACGAUGCGUAGCCGACCUGAGAGGGUGAUCGGCCACACUGGAACUGAGACACGGUCCAGACUCCUACGGGAGGCAGCAGUAGGGAAUCUUCCGCAAUGGGCGAAAGCCUGACGGAGCAACGCCGCGUGAGUGAUGAAGGUCUUCGGAUCGUAAAACUCUGUUAUUAGGAAAGAAAAAAUGUGUAAGUAACUAUGCACGUCUUGACGGUACCUAAUCAGAAAGCCACGGCUAACUACGUG
rnacentral:rRNA from 1 species